GUAUUGGGAAGGCAGAUAAAAUGCCAGGUCUGGACUGCCUCUGGGGAUAACCUCACCCUGUGGGAUGUGAAUGAAUAGCAUCUUGCCUGGUAAAUCCACAGGAAUUGAUAAGGCGGGCGCAGUUCUCCCAAACAGGCCUUUUCUCUUUAAGCUCUAGCUGUGGUUUCUGCAGCAAUUUUGUUUUUGCCUUGAAAGAGGUGCUCUGGAUUAUCAGACCUCCAUGUAUGACAAUUUGUACCUGCAUGGAAUUGAAGACUCGGAGGCUGGUUCAGCGGAUUCCUACACAAGCAGGCCGUCUGACUCCGAUGUCUCUUUGGAAGAGGACCGGGAAGCAAUUCGACAGGAGAGAGAACAGCAAGCAGCUAUCCAGCUUGAGAGAGCAAAGUCCAAACCUGUAGCAUUUGCCGUGAAGACAAAUGUGAGCUACUGCGGCGCCCUGGACGAGGAUGUGCCUGUUCCAAGCACAGCUAUUUCCUUUGAUGCUAAAGACUUUCUACAUAUUAAAGAGAAAUAUAACAAUGAUUGGUGGAUAGGAAGGCUAGUGAAAGAGGGCUGUGAAAUUGGCUUCAUUCCAAGCCCACUCAGAUUGGAGAACAUACGGAUUCAGCAAGAACAAAAAAGAGGACGUUUUCAUGGAGGGAAAUCAAGUGGAAAUUCUUCUUCAAGUCUUGGAGAAAUGGUAUCUGGGACAUUUCGAGCAACUCCCACAUCAACAGGUGAGGGUUGUAGUUAAACUCUUUUUCAUAGACUGUAUUCCUUUUAAAAAUAUUUGAACACACAUGCAAGUAUGUUUGCUAAUUUGGAAACAAUUUGAAGGCUUAAUUUAAAGAUUUCUCUAAUAUUUCAUUUCUCAUUUGUUUUCUAUGGUAAUUUGAUUUCAUUUAAAAUGGUACUAAAAGUUCACGUCAUUAGAAUAUAAUUUUGAAAAAUCUUAUUUACCCCCCAGAGUUAAAAACUGUCCAUUGUGUAAAUUGAUAUUCAAAAAAUUCAUAUUUUACCUAAGAAACGGACAGAGUUUAAGAUGGUGAGGGCCAAUAAAAAAAGGAAAAAAAUGAUGCAGACUCUCAAGAAAAUGCUCUGUUUUCAGUCUCCAUGUGGAACUUCAGGAAGUAUUAGUACAGCCUGAGCUGGGAGGGUUGAAGCAGAGAGUAAGGCAGGGCCCAAAUGAGGGAGGGUGUCAUUUACAUUUGGACAGCAGACAGCCAAGCCCUGAAAUUAAUGGUAAUGAAGAGAUAGUGGUGGCCUAGUAGGGAGUUGUGGUGCAUUUGGAAACUAUGGAGGUAUUCCUGUAGGAAUUUUUCUUCUACCACAUUCCCUGAUUCCUAUAGGCUAAUUUCAUUCUGGCCUACAAUUGCUGUUUCAUUAGGGCAUCCAGUGCCCUAGUUACCAAUUCCAAUUGUAUUACCAAUUUGGAAUGGCAAGUCCAAGGCCCUAUCCUGGCCUACCAAAACUGGAGGCAACUGGAUUGGUUCUGGAAUGGUUCUAAGUGUCUGGGUGGUUGUUCAUGUGAAGCCCUCUGAUCUACGGGACACUGAACCAAACCAGGUUUCUGAGUUGUACCCAACUAGACUGGAGCUGCUUGGAUGUCCACAGAAUUGCUUUAAAUCAGUUAUUGAGUGUAUUUUGCUUCGUUCCCAUUUGUUGGACAUUCAGGACAUUGAACACUUUAGCUAUUACAAACAGGAAAGAACAGCAAUAACUGGUUAUAAAUUUAUCUGAGGAAUAACUGGUUAUAAAUAUAUUUGAAAUUUAAAAGCAAGAUAGUAGGAAAAAUGUGCUAAUAUUCUAGAAAAUGGGCAAAAAUGCCCAAGGGACUGCAGAAUUAUGAGUUAACAAAUAUAAAAAUAACUAGUGAUUGAGGUGAUAGUCAUUUUUGCCCAAGUGGUUAUUCUGUUUCCUUUUAUGAAAUUGCAUUUGUCUACCUUGUUCCCAGCAACACUGUGCUAUGUCCAGCACAGGAACAACCCAUGGUGAAUGGCUGGCCCGGAACUUCCAGUGUUGCUCUCAACUCCUGUACCGAACUCCCACCCAGUGAGAAAUCAGGAUAUAAGAUCAUUUGUACCAGGGAGGAAGCUGUCUGUUUUUCAUACAUCUUCAAAAUUGACAUGUCCAGAAUGAAAUCAUAAGGCAGGUUCUCCAAAGUGGGUGAUAGGAAAGUGGUGAAGAUAAUUACAGGGACAAAUGGGUACAUUCUUCCAUCUUUUAAACUCAUGUACUGUCAUUUGCAGAGAUUACAUAUUUUGAUAUGGCUCUCGUUAUUGUCUUUUAGCAAAACAGAAGCAAAAAGUGGUAAGUUGUGUUUCCUUUUUAAAUCUACUGUUAAGGUUCCUAUACAUACAUGCCCGCAAUGCUCCAUUUCAGUGACCCAAGUGGCUAUAAAAUAAGGGAAGAGCCUCCUCGGUGGGGACUUUGAUAAUCAUUUGUCGUUCAACCUGAGAAUUAUGAAUGUUGUGGCUGUGGAGAGGCAUGCUCAACCUCACCUUGUCAUGCAUGUUGAAUCAUCUUUUUCAGACGGAGCACAUUCCUCCUUAUGAUGUUGUGCCGUCAAUGCGUCCGGUGGUGUUAGUGGGGCCGUCACUGAAAGGUUACGAGGUAACAGACAUGAUGCAGAAAGCCCUCUUUGAUUUCCUGAAGCACAGGUUUGAUGGGAGGAUAUCAAUAACGAGAGUGACAGCUGACAUUUCUCUUGCUAAGAGGUCUGUCCUAAAUAAUCCCAGCAAGAGAGCAAUAAUUGAACGUUCGAACACCCGGUCCAGCUUAGCGGAAGUACAAAGUGAAAUUGAAAGAAUCUUUGAGUUGGCAAGAUCUUUGCAACUGGUUGUUCUUGAUGCAGACACCAUCAAUCACCCAGCACAACUUAUAAAGACUUCCUUAGCACCAAUUAUUGUUCAUGUAAAAGUCUCAUCUCCAAAGGUUUUACAGCGGUUGAUUAAAUCUAGAGGAAAGUCACAAAGUAAACACUUGAAUGUUCAACUGGUGGCAGCUGAUAAACUUGCACAAUGCCCCCCAGAAAUGUUUGAUGUUAUAUUGGAUGAAAAUCAGCUUGAGGACGCGUGUGAACAUCUAGGGGAGUACCUGGAGGCGUACUGGCGUGCCACCCACACAACCAGUAGCACACCCAUGACCCCACUGCUGGGAAGGAAUUUGGGCUCCACAGCACUUUC
rnacentral:sRNA from 1 species